CCUACGGGAGGCAGCAGUAAGGAAUAUUGGACAAUGGAGGGAACUCUGAUCCAGCCAUUCCGCGUGGAGGAAGAAGGCCCUAUGGGUUGUAAACUUCUUUUAGAUGGGAAUAAAAUGACUCUUGCGAGAGUUACUGAAGGUACCAUCAGAAUAAGCACCGGCUAACUCCGUGCCAGCAGCCGCGGUAAUACGGAGGGUGCGAGCGUUAUCCGGAAUUACUGGGUUUAAAGGGUGCGUAGGCGGAUGAUUAAGUCUGGGGUGAAAGAUUGUCGCUUAACGAUAAGAUUGCCUUGGAUACUGGUYRUCUUGAAUAAGGAUGAGGAUGGCGGAAUGUGACAUGUAGCGGUGAAAUGCAUAGAUAUGUCAUAGAACACCAAUUGCGAAGGCAGCUAUCUGGUCUUUUAUUGACGCUGAGGCACGAAAGCGUGGGGAGCGAACAGGAUUAGAUACCCUGGUAGUCCACGCCCUAAACGAUGCUAACUCGAUGUUUGGACAGUAAGUUUGAGCAUCCAAGCGAAAGCGUUAAGUUAGCCACCUGGGGAGUACGACCGCAAGGUUGAAACUCAAAUGAAUUGACGG
rnacentral:rRNA from 1 species